rnacentral:rRNA from 1 species
UGCAUGUCUAAGUACGUGCCUAAGAAAGGUGAAACCGCGAAUGGCUCAUUAAAUCAGUUAUGGUUCCUUAGAUCGUACCUUACUACUUGGAUAACUGUGGUAAUUCUAGAGCUAAUACAUGCAGCAGAGCUCCGACCUUCGGGGACGAGCGCUUUUAUUAGACCAAGACCAAUCGGACUUCGGUCCGAAGCUCAUGGUGACUCUGGAUAACUUUGGGCUGAUCGCACGGUCUCGUACCGGCGACGCAUCUUUCAAGUGUCUGCCUUAUCAACUUUCGAUGGUAGGUUAUGCGCCUACCAUGGUCGUAACGGGUAACGGGGAAUCAGGGUUCGAUUCCGGAGAGGGAGCCUGAGAAACGGCUACCACAUCCAAGGAAGGCAGCAGGCGCGCAAAUUACCCACUCCCAGCACGGGGAGGUAGUGACGAAAAAUAACAAUACGGGACUCUAUUGAGGCCCCGUAAUUGGAAUGAGUACACUCUAAAUCCUUUAACGAGGAUCUAUUGGAGGGCAAGUCUGGUGCCAGCAGCCGCGGUAAUUCCAGCUCCAAUAGCGUAUAUUAAAGUUGUUGCGGUUAAAAAGCUCGUAGUUGGAUCUCAGUUCCAGACGGGUGGUCCACCCCUGGUGGUUACUGCCUGGCCUGAACAAAUCCAGCCGGUUUUCCUUGAUGCUCUUCACCGAGUGUCUUGGGUGACCGGCACGUUUACUUUGAAAAAAUUAGAGUGCUCAAAGCAGGCGUGACGCCUGAAUAAUGGUGCAUGGAAUAAUGGAAUAGGACCUCGGUUCUAUUUUGUUGGUUUUCGGAACACGAGGUAAUGAUUAAGAGGGACAGACGGGGGCAUUCGUAUUGCGACGCUAGAGGUGAAAUUCUUGGACCGUCGCAAGACGAACUACU